GACGAACGCUGGCGGCGUGCCUAAUACAUGCAAGUCGAGCGGAAGAUUCGAAAGCUUGCUUUUGAAUCGUUAGCGGCGGACGGGUGAGUAACACGUGGGCAACCUGCCCUGUAGACGGGGAUAACACCGAGAAAUCGGUGCUAAUACCGGAUAACACGAAAUGUCGCAUGACGUUUCGUUGAAAGGCGGCGCAAGCUGCCGCUACAGGAUGGGCCCGCGGCGCAUUAGCUAGUUGGUGAGGGAACGGCUCACCAAGGCGACGAUGCGUAGCCGACCUGAGAGGGAGAUCGGCCACACUGGGAGUGAGACACGGCCCAGACUCCUACGGGAGGCAGCAGUAGGGAAUCUUCCGCAAUGGACGAAAGUCUGACGGAGCAACGCCGCGUGAGCGAAGAAGGCCUUCGGGUCGUAAAGCUCUGUUGUUAGGGAAGAACAAGUACCGUAGUAACUGGCGUUACUAUGACGGUACCUAACGAGAAAGCCACGGCUAACUACGUG
rnacentral:rRNA from 1 species